UGUGAGAAAUCUGAUCAUCACCUCAUGUUGGGAAACAAACAACUACUCCGGAAGCCUCCCCUAAUUUCCCGAGAAUCUUGAUUUGCCUAAGGAUACUCUGAGCACAAGCUCAGAGCCGGGCAAUCAUCGUGAUUCACAUGUGGAUUCAUAUUGUACAGGCGUAACUGAGGGUUCUGAGAUGAAGAGGCCACUCUGAAGUCCAGUGACACGUGUCCUGAAAAAGGACACACAGAAGAAAGGGAGGCACAAAGCCAGAAUUGAACACCACACUCCAGAGUGCUGACGGCGAGCUGAAGCGUCAGGGAAGGAUCUUCGGCAGAACCUCCAGGGGGCGCUGUCCUGCAAACACGGAAG
rnacentral:lncRNA from 1 species